rnacentral:rRNA from 1 species
CCUACGGGCGGCAGCAGUGGGGGAUAUUGCACAAUGGGGGAAACCCUGAUGCAGCGACGCCGCGUGUGGGAAGACGGUCUUCGGGAUUUUAAACCACUUUCUCCAGGGACGAAAAUGACGGUACCUGGGGAGAAAGCUCCAGCAAACUACGUCCCAGCAGCCGCGGUAAUACGUAGGGAGCGAGGGUUGUCCGGAAUGACUGUGUGAAAAGGGAGCGUAGGCGGGGAUGCAAGUUGGGUGUCAAAACUACCGGCUAAACUGGUAGUCGCACUCAAAACUGCAGCUCUUGAGUGAAGUAGAGGAAGGCGGAAUUCCUAGUGUAGCGGUGAAAUGCGUAGAUAUUAGGAGGAACACCAGUGGCGAAGGCGGCCUGCUGGGCUUUUACUGACGCUGAGGCUCGAAAGUGUGGGGAGCAAACAGGAUUAGAUACCCGGGUAGUC